rnacentral:lncRNA from 1 species
CUUGAAUUUGCACUUUACAUCUGUACUGUAUUUUAUUAGAGUAUCAGUAAGAAGCAGGAGUAAAGGCAUGUCUUUAACUGCUUAUCUUCUGCCAGAAGCUGACCUAUUCUUUUUAAUUUCAGAUUUCUAUUAGUUAACGUCCUUGUUUGCAACUUUUUUUAUACUCAUAACUAUUUACUGAUUACAAGUUAAUCUCUUUAUGAAACCUUCCCUCCUUCCCUCCCACCCUUCCUUCCUUGUUCUUUUCUCUCUCUUGCUCGCUUUCUUUUGUGUGUAUGUAACUGUUUUGAAUGCAUUGUGAGCAUGACAAUCUGCAAGUAUUUAUUUGCACUGAAAUGAAAUCAUGAAUGUGGAUUAUUGCCUUUUAUUUAGAAAUUUGUCUUAAUCUUUUCUUCUUUUAGAAUGAAAUAAAUAUAACAAACAUGAAAACUACCAGAGAUUUGGGCCUGUGUAGCUUUCUCCCUACCUAGUUAAAGAAGGUUAAUUAAUAUGGCUACACUAGAUUUCCACAAGCCAAUGGAGGAGUUCUGGCAAAAUAUCUGAAGGAGAGAGUGAAGUCAUGAUAUUUGUAUUCCAGAGCUCUCCCUUUAAGCUUGCUUCAUGCUAACUAUUCACCUGUACUGAAGGUCACUGUUUCUCUGAAGACAGGCUGGAGUAUAGUGGCAAAUCUUGGCUCGCUGCAAUCUCCUCCUCUCAAGUUUGAGCAAUUCUUGCACCUCAGCUUCCCAAAUAGCUGGAAUUACAACACUACUUACAAUAGCAAAGACAUGGAAUCAACUCAAAUGCCCAACAGUGAUAGACCAGAUAAAGAAAUG